UUCCAUUUCCCUACCAAAACAAAAGCAACAAAAAAGAAAAUUAAAAAUCCUCAUUCUCUGGAAAUGCUUGAAGAAGGGAAAAAAUAAAUUGGAGAUACAAUGAUUGGCAAAAAUGACAUCUUUAUUUAUUUUUAAUAAAAGAUAAAUGUAAUGUAGAGCCAUGGCCUUAUUCUUCUAAACUUCUGUGGGACUUACACAGUUUAUUAUGUAAGUCUCUGUAAUUCAAGUUACCCGGAAAGUUCAAUUUCAUGUGUGAUUAUUAUUGCCUAUUGAAAGUGCAUCUGAUUUGUUAUAACAGGAACCCUGUAGGGGAAAUAAUUGUAUGUUGUUAGCAAUGAAUAUAUGUAAACCUUUAAAAAUGAAUUAAUGUUUUUGAUAUAGCAUGUUUAAUUCAAGCUAGUCUGUGUUCAAUUAUUGGAAGCAGGGAGUGAACGCUCUAAGAAAUAAAAUAACCUAGGGUGAAACACCUUAUUUUAUGAAAAACUAAUUUUUAGGAGCAUUUUCUUUUAUACUAUGUAAAAAAAUCCCUGAAAGAUGAACAGACUUUGACAGCUGUUAUAGGUGAGAGCCUCAAGUAAAGAUAAAAUUAAAUGUUUUCCUUAAAUGCUAUUGCCCAAAUAAUGAAUAUCCAUAAUUGAAAACUGAGAUUACCUUAUACUUUGCUUUGUUCUCUCUGCCAGAGUCCUACCCACUGUAUUAGUUGUUAGAGUUGUGGAACUUAACCGAAGCUUUCUCUGGAUUCCAGAUGUUUUAAGAAUAUUUUCAGCUGCAUGGCUUGACAGCCUUGGGAUUCCCUCACACAUUCACAGUCUUUUUUGGAUCAGUCUGAUGUGAGCAUGAAAACUGGGAGUUGUGGAGCCCACUUAGGAAAUGAUUGCAAUUGUCCAGGAGACAGAUGAUGGUAAUUAAGUUUCCAUCAGCCUGGAACUCAGGACAGAAGAUACAUAUUCUGUAUGUAGAGAAUCACUGGAGGUCAAAUGUCUUUGCCAAUUUGAGUUUUUCCACUUGAACAAGAAAAGACUGUCAAGGGAAAGCCAAUCAAUUUCACAAUGUUUAGAAAAUGAAUGUUAUUCUCAGAAGAGAACUCAAAAAGGAUUUCUAUGAAGUCUCUGGCAGAAAACCGAGAAAUUACAAAUGCAAGUGGUAUUUUCAUUUUCCUCUUUUAAAGACCACGAUGUAACAUGAGAAAACAAAAUACCAGAAGUGAAAGGCUGACUCCACUAAAGAUGUUCAAUAAUGAGAUUUGAUUUUUUAAAAAACACAUCUUUUAUGGGCUUUCAGGGCAUGGAAACAAGAUCAAGAAAGGUGUUUUUCUGGAGACUUUCCAAUCAAAGCAAUGAAGAUUUAAAGUGGAAUAAAAGGAUUGGGCAACAAAUAAAUCGAGUGUAAAAGAAGUCUGAUUCCUCAUUGCUGACAGGAAGACAGCCAUGGAUUGGGAAAAGAUUAGAGUGAAUCCUGUGAUGUUGGAUUGGGAUUGAAGAUACCGAAAAUAAACUCCUGGAUCCAUAUUUCACACCUUAAGAAAGCACUCCAACCCCCAAGGGCAUCAACUUCAACAGGAAAACUGACCCUUCAACUUACCAAAUCUUUGAAGUGACUAGUUGUAUAGUACAACAAGCAGAAAAUUUGCUAUGGAGGUUGUGUUAACUGUUGACAUUUAUGUGAGAUUUUUGCUGCAUAUUUGUUAGAAAAGGCUCAACAAAAUUAUAAUAAACAAUGAUUGUGUUAUUAAUUUUUUAACUGUUAUAUCAGUUAUAAAUGCUUGGAAUGAAAAUGCCUUAAGGAAAUUAGUCAAUAAUGUCACAUAUGUUACUUUUUCUAAUUGGAUCUGCCAUGAUUGCUAUAAAACUUUGUCCUUCCACUAUGACUCAUGAGUAACUUCAAUAACAAACUGCUUGGGAAUUCCCAAUGCCACAGUAGAACUAGUAUAUGCAAACAUUAUUUAUUAUCAGGGUGCACAUAAAGGGAAACUAGGACAAAAACCUACCCUGUUUCAAUUUGAUCUUGUUCUCUUAAGCAUGGAAAAAGAAUACUUGUUGCUAUAACUCAACAACUAAAACUCUUGUUUCUCAGGAGAAAAUGCAAAAAGAAAACCAGUUUAUUUGUCAUUUUUGGUUUUGCAAAUGCUAAUCAAAGUUGGUCUUUAUGCAAUGCAAUUUUUCCCACUCUUAAAACUGACUGAUAACAGCAAAUCAGACUGAACCUAAAAAUGACUCCUUCAAAAGUACUAAAAGCCUGUGUGCUUAUGUUUAUAUAUUUGUCUGUGAAUGGGGACCAAAUCCUUUUAUAUGCUGGGGAAGAAAAUUCCUUGACUCUUGGUCAUUAGCAAGUCAGUGUACUUGGGUGCUCAUGUCACUAAAAUACCUCAUUUAUCCCUCCAAUAACACCUUCUUCUGGCCAGAAGGAUUAUAUUUAUCCUGUUUCAAAAGGGAAAAUCCUGGAGCACCUGAGGCAUAAAUAUGUCAUCUUCUGCCCAAUUAGUGUUUUUUUGUUUGUUUGUUUGCUUUGCCUGGAGUAGAACAUGGAGAAAUAUGAUCAUGAUUACUGAUUUCUCUCAAAUCCUAGGCAACCUAGCUGAUACGGUUUAUCUCUGUGUCCCCACCCAAAUCUCAUCUCAAAUUGUAAUCCCCACAUGUUGAGGGAGGGGAGUGAUUGGAUUAUGGGGGCUGUUUCCCUCAUGCUGUUCUUGUGAUAGUGAGUGAAUUCUCAUAAGAUCUGAUGGUUUUAUAAAUGGUAUUUUUUCCUGUGUGCUCGCUUCUGUCUCCUGCCACCAUGUGAAGAAGGUCCUUCCUUCCCCUUCACCUUCCACCAUGAUUGUAAGUUUCCUGAGGCUUCUCCAGAUGUGUGGAACUGUGAGUCAAUUAAACCUUCUUCCUUUAUAAAUUACACAGUCUUUGGAAGUUCUUUAUAGCAGUGUGAAAAUGUACUAAUACACUAACCUAUUCAACUGUCAAAGUUAUUGCCACUCAGUAAUAAUCUUUAAAUUCAUUAGCAGCAACUGUAUUAAAUAACAGAAUUACUCUAGAUUAUCUGUUGGCAGUACAGGGAAAUGUUUGUGGGAUAGUUAACAACUUACGUUAUACUUGGGAAAAUGCCUCUGAAGUAGUUGAACUGGAGCUCAAUAAAAUUAGUUUAGGCAGGUCGGCUAAGACAAGUGCCAUCUAUUGGUAAGCCAUCCUUUGACUUAUUUAGUUGUUACCAGAAAGGAUACAUUCCUUGACUAGAUCCCUGUUACAACUUAGUAUCAUUAUAACAUUAUUGUUUCUUUUUUAAAACUGUUCACUAAGUUCUUGGAAAACAUUAUUGUUUCUGAUAAUUUUGUUGAUCUGUAAGUAUUUGUCUCAAUGCUUAGAACAAGCACUAAUGCUGCCCACUGAUUUGAUGUUGGCCCAGAUUCCUGUAGCCUGUUCUGAACAUCCAGAAGGAACUUACAGCACCUAGAAUUAUAAGCUUGACUGAGUCUAUGAAAUAGCUUGUAAAUUCACUUCCCUGUGAGCCAGGGACCCAGAACAGAUAGUCUUACUUCACCCUGGCUUUUGCAGGACAAGAUGGAGCUCAUACAGCAUUGAUUUCGUCAGUGUCUAGGGACCUGUGGUGAUCACAGAUAUUCUCUCCUGGGAGAAAUAUCUUGAUCAAAUGAGGGAAAUGUGAGCUUAUCAAUGUUCCACACUUGCCAUCAGUAAUUUCAUCUUUGUCUACUGACUUCACAUUAAUACUGCCGAUGAACUUUGAGAUCUACAAAGUAACACUUCCUUCACAAAUAUUUGUACUCUCAACAGUACACACUAUAAAGAAACCGGUCACUAUCUUUAAGAACUUUAUAUAUAUAGCUUUUCUGACAAACUGAUGUAAUUUAUUCACGUUUAAUCAACUAAUGAAAUAAUCUGACAAACAAUAUAUGUAAACUAAAUAAGUUUUUCUCAAUGUAAGCCCUCUUUCCUCUUUCAGGUGGUGCAGUCUCUGGCUGCUAACUGGGUUGUAAUCCCUGUUCCUGAAUAAAUGUUUAUUUGCCUCUAGCCUGUUCAU
rnacentral:lncRNA from 1 species